AUUGAACGCUGGCGGCAGGCUUAACACAUGCGAGUCGAGCGGGGUGAUGGUGCUUGCACUAUCACUUAGCGGCGGACGGGUGAGUAAUGCUUAGGAAUCUGCCUAUUAGUGGGGGACAACAUCUCGAAAGGGAUGCUAAUACCGCAUACGUCCUACGGGAGAAAGCAGGGGAUCACUUGUGACCUUGCGCUAAUAGAUGAGCCUAAGUCGGAUUAGCUAGUUGGUGGGGUAAAGGCCGACCAAGGCGACGAUCUGUAGCGGGUCUGAGAGGAUGGUCCGACACACUGGGACUGGGACACGGCCCAGACUCCUACGGGAGGCAGCAGUGGGGAAUAUUGGACAAUGGGGGGAACCCUGAUCCAGCCAUGCCGCGUGUGUGAAGAAGGCCUUAUGGUUGUAAAGCACUUUAAGCGAGGAGGAGGCUCUUUUGGUUAAUACCCAAGAUGAGUGGACGUUACUCGCAGAAUAAGCACCGGCUAACUCUGUGCCAGCAGCCGCCGUAA
rnacentral:rRNA from 1 species